AUACGGAGGGUGCAAGCGUUGUCCGGAUUUAUUGGGUUUAAAGGGUGUGUAGGCGGUGUAUUAAGUCAGUGGUGAAAGCCUGCGGCUCAACCGUAGAACUGCCAUUGAUACUGACACACUUGAGUUUGGUUGAGGUAGGCGGAAUUUAUGGUGUAGCGGUGAAAUGCAUAGAUACCAUAAAGAACACCGAUAGCGAAGGCAGCUUACUAAGCCGAAACUGACGCUGAGGCACGAAAGCGUGGGGAGCGAACAGGAUUAGAAACCCCGGUAGUCC
rnacentral:rRNA from 1 species